AUACUUACCUGGCAAGGGAGACACCGUGAUCAAGAAGGCGGUUCACCCAGGGCGAGGCUCAGCCAUUGCACUCCGGCUGUGCUGACCCCUGCGAAUUUCCCAAAUGUGGAAAUCUCGAUUGCAUAAUUUCUGGUAGUGGGGGACUGCGUUUCGCGCUCUCCCCUG
rnacentral:snRNA from 8 species